rnacentral:lncRNA from 1 species
GGUGUUUAGGAGGAAUGCUGCAAACAGGGCUGAAAAUGAAGAAGAAAAUGCUGAUGGAGUGCAGAAUAUGGAUGCAUCACCAGUACACUCUGCUGGACAUGAAGAUAUUGCUGCUACAAGUCAAAAUGCAAUGGUUGCAUAUGAGGAACCUGAGUACAGAGGUGAACCUCUGUCUAUGUUUGAAAGACAGGUGCUAAGCAGGCUGGACACACUCACAGAUGAGCAUAAGGCACACUAUGAAAUGACUUACUCCAGAUUUCAACACUUGGAUGACCA